GAGAGAUUCCAACACAAGACCAUAGAGUAAGAAAACGAGAGCAGGAAUUUAUUCCCCUAGCUUUCUCUUUGCCACAUUACCACAGGUCACCUAUGCCAUUCCACCAAAGGCGUGGCUCCUGUCAGGUGGCCCAAUCUUGAAGAAUGGAUUCACCUGUGGGUCAACUAAUGAAAAGCAAAAUCCUCCAAGUCAAGUCCUUGUCUUCCAGGAGGUCAGGAAAAAAAUCUCUUCUAAAGAAUCAUUCUUAGAUCUGAGACAUAGAAGAUGAAUAGUAUCUCGUUCAGGCAAAGCAUUUGUGAAGGUCCAGAGGUGAGAAGAUACUUUGCAUUUUCAUCAAAACUGAAGCAGCUGAGGCUCACUGAGCAGCAGGAAAGAAAGGAAACAGGGGUCUAUCUGUAUGAAAGGUUCAUACUGUUCUUGUGCCUCCAAAAUGGGAUUUUCUCUACUUAUUACCAUGUCUUCAAGUUUGCGGAACAGCUCACGGAAAAACCCUCUCUCUGGACAUGUUUGGGCCAGAUUCAAGAUCAACUCAAGUCACCUUCAGCUGGAGGUCCCCCGGGCAAGUCACUGAAUUUUCCUCAGCCCCCAUCCUCCUCUACAAAAUAGAUACUGUUGAACAAUACGAGCCUGAACUGUGUUGGGCCACUUAUAUGUGGAUAUUUUUCAAUAAAUUCAGUAAAGUACUACAAAUGUAUGUUCUCUUCCUUAUAUUUUCCUUAACAACAUUUUUCUCUUCUCUAGCUUACUUUAAGAAUAAGGUGCAUAAUACAUAAAACAUAGAAAAUAUGUGUUAAUUGACUAUGUUAUUGUUGAGGCCUCCA